CCCUUAGAUGUUCUGGGCUGCACGCGCGCUACACUGAAGGAGGCAGCGUGUACUCCUGGAUCGAAAGAUUUGGGUAACCCGCGAAUCUCCUUCGUGCUAGGGAUUGAGGUUUGCAAUUAUCCUUCAUGAACGAGGAAUUCCCAGUAAGUGCAAGUCAUAAGCUUGCGCUGACUACGUCCCUGCCCUUUGUACACACCGCCCGUCGCUACUACCGAUUGAAUGAUUUAGUGAGGACUUUGGACUGGGACCGAUGCGGCUUUCGGGCUGCGUCGGUAUUCUGGAAAGAUGUCCAAACUGUAUCAUUUAGAGGAAGUAAAAGUCGUAACA
rnacentral:rRNA from 1 species